CAAGGUCACGGCAAGACGAGCCGGUUAUCAUUAUGAUAGGUGUCAAGUAGAAGCGUAGCAAUGCGCGCAGCUGAGUCAUCCUAACCUAACAGACCGAGAUAUUUGAAC
rnacentral:rRNA from 1 species